rnacentral:ncRNA from 2 species
UUGUUUUAACCGGGGUGUCUCUUUUUUCAAAAGAGGCUGAGAACAUACUCGUAGAACCUGAUCUGGAUCAUGCCAGCGAAGGGAGAGGGAUAGAUGACGAC